GUCGUUACCAUAGCAGCCGGUGCUAAACACAAUCCAGCACCCACUGUUAGCAGUAGAAAUGUCUAGGGCUCAGGCAGAAAGAGUGAUUAAAACCAUAAUUUCGGAAAUAGUGGAGGAGUGUGUAAAGAUGGGACACUCAUUAUCUGAAACUCUGGUGGCUUUCAUGGUGAAAGCAGUGGUGUUGCAUCCGACCAACGGUUUCAAUGUAGAUCGCACACUGUCCAUACAAGACGUUCAAAGACUGAAACAGCUUUGCUUGGAUAAACUUACCAUGGAGUACAGCCCAGGUCUUGACACAAUCAAAAUGCAACUUUACUUUGACAUGAAUUAUACCUCUCGAAGCGAGUUUCUUGGGGAAAUCCAUCGGGUGCUGGAGUCCAAGCUCAGCAAAGUGAGUCGAGAGAUUACAGACAGCAGAGCAAAAUCCGGGGAUGAUUUCCAAACUUUGUACCAUCAAAUAAUCACCUACAUCCUGCUGCGAUCUGCAAUGGGCUCACCUACAGAUUUCAGCUGUGUACAAGACACUAAUGCUGCUCUGCAAAGUGUUUUACCCCUGAUUGACCUGGGAGCUUUCCUGGUACUGUUGAAGAGAGACAAGGAACAGCAGCUAAAAGAGCUCACUAUGAUUGUAACAGGAAUCCGACUCUUCAGUGAAGCCGCCAAGCAAGAAGAGGAGCAUUUGAGCAUCCACAAAUUAAUGCCUGCAGUUUUCAAAGAAGCAUUUCAAGUCCAGGAUAAAAGUAUUACAAAUGAAAUGAGCAUCACACGAAGUUUGGUGUGGAGAUACACAGCUGUGCUGGAGAAGUUAACUCACCCUGACAUUCAGCCUGGACAGGUUAAUGCACCCAUUACCCUGCUCAAACAGGCUCUCUACAACGUCAGGCAGCAUGAAGAUUUCCUCAAAAUCCUACUGACUGAUGCAAGGAUAUGUUCCAAGCUUAUGGAGAAUAAACAGGCUGAGCUUUCUUCUCUGUUGAAGCGGCUUAGAGAAACUGUGCAGGCAAAUACAGCGUCACCAGGUUCAAUAGUCUUGCCCUUGUUCAAAGAUGUGUCAAAGUUGUGGUUUGAGCUACAGGAUGAGGCUGAACUGCUUAACAUCCUCAAUAACAUCACAGUCAGUCUUAAGCCCUUCCUCGUCUCCCAAGCUAAGAUGUUUUCAGAAGCAUAUCUGGACACCCUGCUGGAAGCUGAAGAAGUGAAGACAGAUAUCCAGAGAAUGGCAGCAUCGUCAGGUGAACAGAUCGAGCUGACACUGCUUAGGACACAGACAUGGAUCAUGCCUCAUACAACUGACAGUUUGAAUGAGCUGCCUCUACAGUAUAAUGGAUUCUGUGGUUACAUGAUUGUGAACAGGGAUGGUCUUCUACUUCCAGGUAAUCCAUUUAUUGGAGUUCUUAAACACAAGGAGAGGUUCUAUGCAUUUAGCUCCAAAGAGGCAGCUUUGACAUUUGCAUCCUGUCCAGAUGACUUUGUUACAGAGGUGGCAGAAAAAUCCAAAUGUUUCCCAGAACUCUUUCAGCUUCUCAAACUCCAUCAGCAGCUUUCCUGUGAACAUCCGUCCUCUGAGGCGCUGGAGCUGCAGACCGGAGUGUUGACAGGUGUACGUUGUUGCUUCAUCAGCUGGAGGACUAUAUGAGGGUGGUUCACUGGCUUUUCUACGCCUGAGUGUUUGCCUACCGUGGCUGUUCACGCCAAGCUGGGGUUUCCUCCUGAACCCACCUCCUGUCAAGACUGGAAUCUGCUGCUGCCCUUGCGAGUCCUUCAGCUGGAGGCACAACCUGUCCACCACUUUGUUACCUGGAACAUCAGAUCGCUCCAAUCGUUUCCGUGCAGGCACUACCACAGCUUGAACCGGUUUCUCCCCCUGGCGGAUCGAUCGCCUUCCGGAAAUCUGUCUCCUGAUCGCUCUGCCUACCUCGUUCCUGAGUCAAAAAGAAAUAAAAGAAAAACGUAAUUUACUCUUCUCUGUCUGAGUGUCCUCUGCUUGUGGGUCAAGUCGGCCUUAAAAACUAUGACAGAACACUCAGGCCAGCCGGAUCCUGCAGAGGCACUCCAGAGAACCGUUUCCGAGCAAGGUCAUCUUAUCCAGGCUCAUGGUUCGACCCUCCGCUCUCUCCUCGACCAACAGCGGUAGGUUAGUCAGCAGUUGGAACAGCUCACAGCCUUAAUGCAGCACACUCUGGAAGUUACGCCCGCCUCACCGCCGGAGGGCGCUGAGGCACCUCCUGAGUCCCAACAACUUCCUCAUAGUCGGGAAGUAGUUUGCCCUAGCCCGGAGAAGUUUUCUGGGGAGGUUGGUAGCUGCCGGGGGUUUCUCUUACAGUGUGUCCUUGUCUUUAAUAGGUCCCCACAGUCAUUUCCCCAUGACGAUGUGAAGAUUUCCUAUGUGUUGGGCCUGCUCACCGGCAGAGCACUGCGGUGGGCUGAGGCUAGGUUUUCAAAUCACAAUAGUUUUGGCUGUUCCUAUGACGAGUUCAUUAAAGAAUUUAGGUUGACGUUUGACAUUGACAUGGACCGAUCUAGUGUGGCUCGCCGUUUGCGAGCGUUAAAGCAGUGGUCAGACUUUCUACAUACCUUGUCAGAGGUAAACAUCCCCAUAUCUUCAGUCAUUAACCCUUAUGCUCGUGAAGAAUAUAGACAGUUCAAAACAGGGGGUACAUCUAAUGAAAAUGGGGGUACAGAUAACUCAUUCUCCCCAUUGGUCGAGAUCCGAGCUGGAAGAUCCAAAAAAUGCUGAUGGGAAGUCAAAAAAGUCUCUUCGUAAGACGACACAUUUUCACCA